CCCCUAGAUGUUCUGGGCCGCACGCGCGCUACACUGAACAGUUCAACAAGUCUUAACCUUGGCCGACAGGCCCGGGCAAUCUUUGAACGCUGGUCGUGAUGGGGAUAGACUUUUGCAAUUUUUGGUCUUCAACGAGGAAUUCCUAGUAAACGCAAGUCAUCAACUUGCAUUGAUUACGUCCCUGCCCUUUGUACACACCGCCCGUCGCACCUACCGAUUGAAUGGUCCGGUGAAGCCUCCGGAUUGGCGCGCACCUCGGUGCCGCCGAGAAGUUGGCUAAACCUUNCNAUUUAANGGAAGGUGAANUCGUANCA
rnacentral:rRNA from 1 species